UACGUAGGGUGCGAGCGUUAAUCGGAAUUACUGGGCGUAAAGCGUGCGCAGGCGGUUUUGUAAGUCAGAUGUGAAAUCCCCGGGCUUAACCUGGGAACUGCGUUUGAAAUUACAAGGCUAGAGUGUGGCAGAGGGGGGUGGAAUUCCACGUGUAGCAGUGAAAUGCGUAGAGAUGUGGAGGAACACCGAUGGCGAAGGCAGCCCCCUGGGUUAACACUGACGCUCAGGCACGAAAGCGUGGGGAGCAAACAGG
rnacentral:rRNA from 1 species